AAUCAACGCUGGCGGCGUGCCUAACACAUGCAAGUCGAACGAGAAAGUGGAGCAAUCCAUGAGUACAGUGGCGUACGGGUGAGUAACACGUGACUAACCUACCCUCGAGUGGGGAAUAACCUCGGGAAACCGGGGCUAAUACCGCAUAACAUCUUCGGAUCAAAUGCGUAAGCAGCUUGGGGAGGGGGUCGCGGCCGAUUAGCUAGUUGGUGAGGUAAUGGCUCACCAAGGCAAUGAUCGGUAGCCGGCCUGAGAGGGCGCACGGCCACACUGGAACUGAAACACGGUCCAGACUCCUACGGGAGGCAGCAGUGGGGAAUUUUGCGCAAUGGGGGAAACCCUGACGCAGCAACGCCGCGUGGGUGAUGAAGGCC
rnacentral:rRNA from 1 species